CAAACAUUAAAGUAUGUGAGAAGGGCUUGAAUCUGGACAAAUUAUCGACACAGAAUGUGAAGAGCAACUUCAGUCUUCGCCCACCCCGGCUGAUCACCUCUGAGAGACCCGGCCGCGUGCUCUCCGCCUCCUCUGCGGGACCCCAGCUCCCCACUUCCGCGAGCGGUUAUAUUGCACGGGUUCCUUUACCCGCCUUAUCUCCCGCCCCCAGACUUUCAACCUCUUUGAAAUAAAGGUCAAGUACGUCCUCUCAAUUGCUUCGUAGCUAGCCGUGUUUCCUGGCACACCGGCUGCCUCUGUUCACCACUGUAACCCCGAGACCCAGGCCCUGACGCGGCCAGCCGUGCCGGUUAAGCGAAUGAGAGCCCGCUGAGGGAGGAGAGCGCACUGGUUACGCGCUGAGCCGUCACUGAGCCACCCAAAGCACAGUAGAAGACCUGCGCUGCCGUCCACACAGGCUCCAGGAAAUCUCCGAGCUGGGCUCUGCCGUGCUAAGCCAGCAGGUCUCCUCCGCAGACCACUCUCAAGUUCCUACUGCAAUUUAGGACUCACACUGCUCAAGAGGAAUCAGAAGGAUCCGGUGGAGUGCGGAGUUGGAGUCCGAGACGAGCUCACAGGCUCUGAGAGACAUCUUCUCUGUUGCGGAACCCAGACCUUGCUUCCAGGGUAUGAGAGCAUAGAUUGUCCUACUCACAUAGCAGCUUAGGCCUGAAGAGCAGCCUACCGAAUAAUCUGAGGACCGUGGAAUGACCAGAAAUUCCAGUCUUGGAAAGCGCACGGUGACCUCACAAUAGCCUUGGGCCACCAGUCAGGGCACUGACCAGCCCGGGUCUGUAUUCAGGGGAGGAAGCCCUUGGCAUCUCCCUAAUGAAGAGCUCGUUAGGCGACACGGAGCCCCCUGCAUGCUAGUGGGUCUUCUCCCGGUCUGACUGACGGCAAACCACGGAGCUGGCUGUUUGAAUGUCGAUGGAAAGCGCCUGCUGUUGUCACCAAAGCAGUCACAGUGGAGUCUUUCUAAAUGCUUAUUAAGCAUUAGCUCCCACGGAUUUUACUGCAUUACACCUGAAAACGAUACUUCUCAGGAGGCCAGCCGCAUCUACAGCUCUGAUUGCCAUCCUGUGUUCCCUGGUGAUCUUCCUAAGCAGAGGUAGUUCUAGAACAACAGUGAGCUCGGGAGUCUUCCAGGGUCCGAUGGAGCCAGGAGAACCACAGCUCAAAGGGGAAUCUGAGGCUUUCUGCCAAAUGACCAGCACACCUCUGCUGCACCAAGCAUCCACCUGCUUUUUAAAGUUGAGUUUCGGAAGAGAGCAGUAAAAUUUACCGAGUCACAAAUAUUAUUUCCUGUUUUAUUUGGCUAAUGAGAAAUCAGAAUCAGAGAAAUGCCAAAUGAGUGAAAUUCAGAAGAAGCGUGUCAUUGAGGGUAGCACUUUUCCUGAGUUUCUGUACAAGAACAAAGAAGAGUUGAAAAGAUUUAGAAGGGAAAGGUGGCCAUGUCAUCUCAGUCCUGGCAAACGGGACCUUGAUAACAGUCUGCUACAACGCGGAGCGGGGCACUGUUCUAGGAAAGCUUUUGCUUCUCUAACCAAAUGGGCAGACACAGCCAGCUUCAGCCUUCUCCCUUCCGCUCUGGACUGGACCCUAGGUGUAAUGUCUGGAGCAGUCACCACCGUCCUGUGUCUAUGAGGACAACCCAGAGACUGCAGGCUCUUACACCAUCAUGCUACUGAACAAGCACCCGCAGCCAUCCACCUUUAGACUUCUUGUCAUUGGGAGAAAUGUACUCCCCUUCUCUCAGCCAUGGCGGAAUUUCUUCCUGUGCACAUAUUUCCAAUGGGUUGGAUAACAGUGCAUAGUCCACGUAUAGAUCCUCAGUUCUCUUGCUUGUAUCCUUGACCUUUCUUUGGCCAGUGUGUUUAGAAUCUCCAACAUAAGCUGUGAUCUAGUUUUGCUAGGAAUGGAAACAGCUCACAGAUUUUGAGUGGGUGUCUUGCUAGACUAUCAGGAAGGCAAGAAGAAUAACAUUUUUAAUCCCUCUGGGCUUUCUAGUUUUGGGCAGAGACUCAAAAGUAUUACAGUACAAGAAGUUUCUAUUACUUAAACAAAUAAAACAUGAAUGCUGAGA